rnacentral:rRNA from 1 species
GCCAGACUCCUACGGGAGGCAGCAGUGAGGAAUAUUGGUCAAUGGGCUUACGCCUGAACCAGCCAAGUCGCGUGAGGGAAGACUGCCCUAUGGGUUGUAAACCUCUUUUGUCAGGGAACAAAGGCGGGGACGUGUCCCCGGAUGAGUGUACCUGAAGAAAAAGCAUCGGCUAACUCCGUGCCAGCAGCCGCGGUAAUACGGAGGAUGCGAGCGUUAUCCGGAUUUAUUGGGUUUAAAGGGUGCGUAGGCGGAAUGCCAAGUCAGCGGUAAAAUCGCGGGGCUCAACCUCCCUCCGCCGUUGAAACUGGCGUUCUUGAGUGGGCGAGAAGUAUGCGGAAUGCGUGGUGUAGCGGUGAAAUGCAUAGAUAUCACGCAGAACUCCGAUUGCGAAGGCAGCAUACCGGCGCCCAACUGACGCUGAAGCACGAAAGCGUGGGUAUCGAACAGGAUUAGAUACCCGAGUA